rnacentral:rRNA from 1 species
ACCUACGGGGGGCAGCAGUGAGGGAUAUUGGUCAAUGGGGGAAACCCUGAACCAGCAACGCCGCGUGAGGGAAGACGGUUUUCGGAUUGUAAACCUCUGUCCUCUGUGAAGAUAAUGACGGUAGCAGAGGAGGAAGCUCCGGCUAACUACGUGCCAGCAGCCGCGGUAAUACGUAGGUGGCAAGCGUUGUCCGGAAUUACUGGGUGUAAAGGGAGCGCAGGCGGGAAGCCAAGUCAGCUGUGAAAACUACGGGCUUAACUUGUAGACUGCAGUUGAAACUGGGUUUCGUGAGUGAAGGAGAGGUU